AACGCACAUUGCGCCCUUUGGUAUUCCGAAGGGCAUGCCUGUUCGAGCGUCAUUAUCACCCCUCAAGCCCCCGUGCUUGGUGUUGGAUGGCUUGGUCGGGUAACCGACCCCUCCGAAAAACAACGACGGCGGCUAUGGCUCCCCCGGUACACUGAGCUUUCGGGCACGUACCGGAUCAUAGGGGGCCCCGGCCACGGUCUCUAUCCCGUUCACCGGGAACUUUAUUCAGGUUGACCUCGGAUCAGGUAGGAAUACGCGCUGAACUUAA
rnacentral:misc_RNA from 1 species